rnacentral:lncRNA from 1 species
AUGGAACUCAAAGCCCAGAACAAUGGGCUCUAUUUAAUAUUAAACAGGUUCUUAAUAACCUGCUAUUUCUCUCCACAGCUGCUGGAGGGUCCCCUCCUGGAAGCGCAGAGUUACAGGAGCAGUUCCCGUGAAGUUGUAAGCUACUCCCCAGGACCAAGCGGCGUUAAAUUUAGAAGUCAUGCUGAUCACCUGACUGUCGGCGAGCCCCGAUUUAAGAAAUUCCAAGUCUACCCUUGUCACCUCUAUCUGUCUAUAUUUGCAGACGCAGCUCGCCGCCCGGCCUGGGGUCACCACCCGAGCCUCCUGGAGACCUGCCCUGCGGAGGACGCCCUUCCAGCACCGGAGGGCUCGCCACUUGGGAGCGGCGGCGCCCAGUUGGCGCCCACCCCGGGACACACUGCAGUCAAUGCCUGGCAGCGACUUCUCGCUUCGCCCUCAGCCUCCCCCAUCGACCCUCUCUGGCCGACCUUUACGCCCAACUCGGGCGCGCUGCGAGCCUCGCGUCCUAGCCGUCCACGCGGGGCCCCACCCCUUCCCGGUUCCUGCCCGCGAUCGGGUCGGAGGCGAGGUGAAUGGGAAGAUGGAGAUGGAUGUUGAGGGAGUUUCUCCGCGCCCGGAGCCCAUCCCCCGCUCCCAGGGGGCUGGCGGAGCCUGCCAGGCGCCGCCACAGCCGCCCCAGCCCCAGCCCCAGCCCCCGCCGCAGCCGCCGCAGCAACAGCAGCAGCAGCAGCAGCAGCAGCAGCAGCAGCAGCAGCAGCUGGCUCAGGAUGAAGUGCCCGGCGAGAGUGCUGGCGUGGAGGACAGCGACGAUCCCGAGGCGAGACCCAACAGCGAGAAAGGAGAGAGCAAGGACCUCAAACCUGAGAGACGUCAGCGUUUCCUCGAAUACUGGUUACACUGCACUGCUGUCUCAGGUCCUGAUCUCGCGGUUCGUGGCAUCAAUCCCCAUGUUGGGCUUUGCACUGACAGCAUGGAGCCUGCUUGGGAUUCUGUCUGUCUACUGUGGCCCGGUACGUGCAUACGUGUUCUCACUCUCUUUCUCUCUCAAAAUAAAUAAAUAA